GUCAGGCUGCAACCCGCCUGCAUGAAGUUGGAAUCGCUAGUAAUCGCGGAUCAGCAUGCCGCGGUGAAUACGUUCCCGGGCCUUGUACACACCGCCCGUCACACCAUGAGAGUCGGGAACACCCGAAGUCCGUAGCCUAACCGCGAAGGGGGGCGCGGCCGAAGGUGGGUUCGAUAAUUGGGGUGAAGUCGUAACAAGGUACC
rnacentral:rRNA from 1 species